rnacentral:rRNA from 1 species
GAGUUUGAUCAUGGCUCAGAUUGAACGCUGGCGGCAGGCUUAACACAUGCAAGUCGAACGGUAAAGUAGCUUGCUACUUACGAGUGGCGGACGGGUGAGUAACGUAUGGGAAUUUACCGAAUGGAGGGGGACAACAGUUGGAAACGGCUGCUAAUACCGCAUAACGUCGAGAGACCAAAGGGUUUCUACUUGCCAUUUGAUGAGCCCAUAUGAGAUUAGCUAGUUGGUGUGGUAAUGGCUCACCUAGGAGACUAUCUCUAUCUGGUUUGAGAGGAUGACCAGCCACACUGGGACUGAGACACGGCCCAUACUCCUACGGGAGGCAGCAGUGGGGAAUAUUGCACAAUGGGGGGAACCCUGAU